UAUCUAACGCGGAGAAAUAAAUAAAUGCAAAAGAUGAACUUGCGCUAAUCGACGAUGCAUUAGUUUAA
rnacentral:sRNA from 16 species